GCUGGGCACAGUGGUGCGUGCCUGUAGUCCCAGCUACUUGGGAGGCUGAGGCUGGAGGAUCGCUUGAGUCCAGGAGUUCUGGGCUGUAGUGCACUAUGCUGAUUAGGUGUCCACACUAAGUUCGGUAUCAAUAUGGUGACAUCCUGGGAGUGGGGGACCAGCAGGUUGCCUAAGGAGGGGUGAACCGGCCCAGGUCAGAAAUGGAGCAGGUCAAAACUCCCGUGCUGAUCAGUAGUGGGAUCAUGCAUGUGAAUAGCCACUGCAUUCCAGUCUGGGCAACAUAGCGAGACCCUGUCUCU
rnacentral:SRP_RNA from 1 species